GGAUCUCGAAAGCCUGUCCCAGUUCGGACUGGAGUCUGNAACCCGACUCCACGAAGUUGGAUUCGCUAGUAAUCGCGCAUCAGCCAUGGCGCGGUGAAUACGUUCCCGGGCCUUGUACACACCGCCCGUCAAGCCAUGGGAGCCGGGGGCGCCUGAAGUCCGGGACCGCGAGGACCGGCCUAGGGCGAAACUGGUAACUGGGGCUAAGUCGUAACAAGGUAAC
rnacentral:rRNA from 1 species